GAUGAAGAACGUAGCGAAAUGCGAUAAGUAAUGUGAAUUGCAGAAUUCAGUGAAUCAUCGAAUCUUUGAACGCACAUUGCGCCCCCUGGUAUUCCGGGGGGCAUGCCUGUCCGAGCGUCAUUACAACCCUCAAGCUCAGCUUGGUGUUGGGCCCCGCCGCCCCGGCGGGCCCUAAAGCCAGUGGCGGUGCCGUCCGGCUCCGAGCGUAGUAAUUCUUCUCGCUCUGGAGGUCCGGUCGUGUGCUCGCCAGCAACCCCCAAUUUUUUCAGGUUGACCUCGGAUCAGGUAGGGAUACCCGCUGAACUUAAGCAUAUCAAUAAGCGGAGGA
rnacentral:misc_RNA from 1 species